CGGCGCAGUGUCCGGAGCCGGGACCGGAAGAGCUGCCUCUUGUCCCGGAGACAUGGUGGAGAGCGGUCGUCCUUCCUCCUGCGUCCCGGCUGAACGAUUACCUCUCCGGGAUGAAUCUCCACCAAUGCGGAUGCCUCGGGUUACAAGAUGUGGUGCCUGGAGAUGCACCUGAUGUAAUCAUGCGUGUGUCCUGUGCUAAACAGGAGUUGCCUCUGACUACAUGAGAUGACAGGAUGAACCUGGUGUCAUCCCUUGUGUCCUGUGCUGAUGAGUUGCCUCUCUACAUGAGAUGACAGGAUGAACCUGGUGUCAUCCCUUGUGUCCUGUGCUGAUGAGUUGCCUCUGACUACAUGAGGUGACAGGAUGAACCUGGUGUCAUCCCUUGUGUCCUGUGCUGAUGAGUUGCCUCUAAAUACAUGAGAUGAAAGGAUGAACCUGGUGUCAUCCCUUGUUUCCUGUGCUGAUGAGGUGCUUCAGAUCAUAUAAUAUGGUGGCUGGAGAUGCACCUGAAGUAUAAUCCUGUGCUGAUCAGGAGGUGCUUCAGAUCAUAUAAUAUGGUGGCUGGAGAUGCACCUGAAGUAUAAUCCUGUGCUGAUCAGGAGGGUUACGGAGCCAAUUGACUGAUCACAAGUUUAUGGGGAAACCAAAUUUCAAAGUGUACCUGGAACGGAUGGAUCACAAUUUCGCAGAUUUAUUAAUAUUUUUCUGAAUAAAACUUAUGAAUAAAAAAAA